rnacentral:rRNA from 1 species
UACGUAGGGUCCGAGCGUUGUCCGGAAUUAUUGGGCGUAAAGAGCUCGUAGGUGGUUCGGUAAGUCGGAUGUGAAAUCUCCAGGCUCAACCUGGAGGGGUCAUUCGAUACUGCCGUGACUAGAGGUCGGUAGGGGAGUGUGGAAUUCCUGGUGGAGCGGUGAAAUGCGCAGAUAUCAGGAGGAACACCCGUAGCGAAGGCGGCACUCUGGGCCGAUACUGACACUGAGGAGCGAAAGCGUGGGGAGCGAACAGG